GCCAGGUGUGGUGGUGCAUGCCUAUAAUCCCAGCAGCUCCGGAGGCUAAGACAGGAGGAUCAUGAGUUCAAAGCCAGCCUCAGCAUUGGUGAGGCACUAAGCAACUCAGUAAGACCCUGUCUCUA
rnacentral:sRNA from 1 species